GACGAACGCUGGCGGCGUGCUUAACACAUGCAAGUCGAACGAAGUGGCGAACGGGUGAGUAACGCGUAAUCAACCUGCCCUUCAGAGGGGGACAACAAUUGGACACGCCUGCUAAUACCGCAUACUGAAGGAGGGGUGUGCGUCUGAUUAGCGAGUUGGAGGGGUACAGGCCCAUCAAGGCGAUGAUCAGUAGCCGGUCUGAGGUGAUGAACGGCCACAUUGGGACUGAGACACGGUCCAGACUCAUACGGGAGGCAGCAGUGGGGAAUCGUCCGCAAUGGACGAAAGUCUGACGGAGCAACGCCGCGUGAGUGAGGACGGCCUUCGGGUUGUAAAGCUCUGUUAGUCGGGACGCGGUACCGGAAUAGAAAGCCACGGCUAACUACGUGCCAGCAGCCGCGGUAAUAC
rnacentral:rRNA from 1 species